GCGUAAAGCGUGCGUAGGUGGCUAAUUAAAAAUCUAGUCAAAGACUAAGGAAAAUAGCCUUUUUAUUCUAGAUCUAUUUGUUAGCUUGAGUGUUUUAGAUGGUUUAUACAUUCUUGAAGGAUGGGUGAAAUUGUUAAUAACUGGAAGAUGUUCAAAGGCGGAAGCAAUCGCAAUAAAACUCUGACACUUAGGCACGAAGGCAUGGGGAUCAAGACGGAUUAGAGACCGAGUAGUCCAUGCUGUAAACAUGGGUGUUCAAUAUCCUGGAGCUGUUCUUAUAAAUGGGAAUCUUAGGGAAUUUGCAGCUAACGCGUCAAACACCCCGCUGGGGAAUGUGGCCACAAGGCUUAAACUCAAAGGAAUUGACGGUGGCUCAUACAAGG
rnacentral:rRNA from 1 species